rnacentral:lncRNA from 1 species
UCUUAAAAAAUUUAAAACGGUAGUAUAUGUUAACAUGAAGCUUCAAAUUAUUCAUAGCUUACAACAAAAUGAAAUACCUUAUGAAUUAUGAAACAGUCGUAGUAGUGAAACAUUUUUAACAGUAUGUACUGUUCAAAAGACCACAAUGUCUUGUAUUUUUUAAAAGGAGAAUUAAAGUGUUAAGUUGUUGUUUUUACUUUGUUUAUAGUACAUAGUAAAAGACAUAAACACUAUUGCUGCAGAAAUUUGCUUUAAAAUUUCUCUAGGAAGAGGCCAUCCAGAGAAAAUUAUCCUUUGCUAUUUUCUUAUGUCUAUUAAAGCAAUUUAUAAGUAUUUUUCAAAUAAUAAUGUAACAUUACAGAACAUUUUUGU